rnacentral:rRNA from 1 species
UACGGGAGGCAGCAGUGGGGAAUAUUGCACAAUGGGCGCAAGCCUGAUGCAGCCAUGCCGCGUGUAUGAAAAAGGCCUUCGGGUUGUAAAGUACUUUCAGUCGUGAGGAAGGUGUUAAGGUUAAUAACCUUAGCAAUUGACGUUAGCGACAGAAGAAGCACCGGCUAACUCCGUGCCAGCAGCCGCGGUAAUACGGAGGGUGCGAGCGUUAAUCGGAAUUACUGGGCGUAAAGGGCACGCAGGCGGUUAAUUAAGUUGGAUGUGAAAUCCCCGGGCUUAACCUGGGAAUGGCAUUCAAGACUGGUUAGCUAGAGUCUUGUAGAGGGGGUUAGAAUUCCAUGUGUAGCGGUGAAAUGCGUAGAGAUGUGGAGGAAUACCGGUGGCGAAGGCGGCCCCUGGACAAAGACUGACGCUCAUGUGCGAAAGCGUGGGGAGCAAACAGGGAUUAGAUACC